UUCAAUCUUUUUGCUAACCUUUGUUCUGUAUAUUAACCUUUCUUGCAGAUUAUUAGAAGGCAUGCGUGUUAUGGACAAUGAAAUAUGCUACCCAGCCAAAGAAUAUCUUACCAUCCACAAAUUGUUUGCAACUCGUGCUGACCUUCAUCGUACCGUCUACACCCAUGCAAAAGUGAAGGCCGUUGAGCUCAUGCUUGUAGAUGCGCUUCUUAAGGCCAAUGAUUACCUACAAAUAUCUUCGUGUUCUUUGGACCCCGCUGAAUUUUGGAAGCUGGAUGAUACACUACUAAAAACCAUUGAAAUAGCUGAUAGCAAGAAGUUGCAAGAAUCAAGAGAUAUUAUCCGACGUAUUCGUCGAAGAGACUUAUACCAGUUCUGCAAUGAGUAUGCUGUUCCGAAGGAUAAAAUCGAGCAUUUUAAGGACAUCGCUCCGCAAGACAUAAUAUGCUGCCAGGCAGCCGGCGGAGUACAACUGAAGGAAGAGGAUGUCGCCGUUAGCAAUGUUAAGAUCGAUUUGACGCGUGGAAGAGAUAACCCUAUUGAGAGCAUCAAUUUCUUCAAGGAUUACGACAGCGACAAGAAGUUCUCCAUCUCAGAUGAUCGCAUCAGCUGCCUUCUUCCUACAUGUUACCAGGACAGAAUUGUGAGGGUGUAUGCCAAGAAGCCUGAAUUGGUUGAGGCCAUAUCAGAAGCUUUUGAGAAUCUACAGCUGAAAAUGUACGGCGUGAAAAAGCAGGUACACGAGACGCCAGAAAAGAAGAAACGCCGGAGGUGAGCUGUAUAGAGACUGCAUGUGUAUUCAUCUCUACGUAUACUCACCCUACAUAGCAAUAAUGGUUUUUGUCAAGUGCUGGCUUUUUGAACAGGAGUGUCGUGCAACAGCUCGAAAUGGAAGCUGUUAAUUCCAUCGUCUGCCAUUCAGUUUGGCGUCUAUAGAUAAUCCAGAGAGCAUUGGCUGUA